rnacentral:rRNA from 1 species
GGAGCUAAUACCGGAUAAUAUUUUGAACCGCAUGGUUCAAAAGUGAAAGACGGUCUUGCUGUCACUUAUAGGUGGAUCCGCGCUGCAUUAGCUAGUUGGUAAGGUAACGGCUUACCAAGGCAACGAUGCAUAGCCGACCUGAGAGGGUGAUCGGCCACACUGGAACUGAGACACGGUCCAG